UGUGGGAGCUGGCUUGCCUGCGAUGCAGACAACUCGGUACAUCAGAUACGCCGAGGUGAUGCUAUCGCAGGCAAGCCAGCUCCCACA
rnacentral:misc_RNA from 1 species